rnacentral:rRNA from 1 species
UACGUAGGGGGCAAGCGUUGUCCGGAUUUAUUGGGCGUAAAGAGCUCGUAGGCGGUUUGGUAAGUCUGGUGUGAAAUCGUCCACGCUCAACGUGGAGGGGCCACCCGAUACUGCCAUGACUGGAGUCCGGUAGAGGAGUGUGGAAUUCCUGGUGUAGCGGUGGAAAUGCGCAGAUAUCAGGAGGAACACCGGUGGCGAAGGCGGGUCUCUGGCAGUAACUGACGCUGGAGGAGCGAAAGCGUGGGGGAGCGAACAGGA